rnacentral:rRNA from 1 species
UACGUAGGUGACCAGCGUUGUCCGGAUUACUGGGCGUAAAGAGCGCGCAGGCGGUCGUUUAAGUCGAGUGUGAAAGCCCCCGGCCUUCAACUGGGGAGGGUCACUUGAUACUGAUCGACUCGAAGGCAGGAGAGGGAAGCGGAAUUCCGGUGUAGUGGUGAAAUGCGUAGAUAUCGGAGGAACACCAGUGGCGAAGGCGGCUUCCG